rnacentral:rRNA from 1 species
CCUACGGGAGGCAGCAGUGGGGAAUAUUGCACAAUGGGGGAAACCCUGAUGCAGCGACGCCGCGUGAGUGAAGAAGUAUUUCGGUAUGUAAAGCUCUAUCAGCAGGGAAGAAAAUGACGGUACCUGAUUAAGAAGCCCCGGCUAACGACGUGCCAGAAGCCGCGGUACUACGUAGGGGGCAAGCGUUAUCCGGAUUUACUGGGUGUAAAGGGAGCGUAGACGGCAGACCAAGUGUGGAGUGAAACGCCGGGGCUUAACCCCGGAACUGCUUUGGAAACGGUGCAUCUAGAGUGCAGGAGAGGUAAGUGGAAUUCCUAGUGUAGCGGUGAAAUGCGUAGAUAUUAUGAAGAACA